UUGAUCCUGGGUCAGGAUGAACGCUGGCGGCGUGCUUAACACAUGCAAGUCGAACGAAGCACUUUAUUUGAUUUCCCCCCCGGACUGAUUAUUUUGUGACUGAGUGGCGGACGGGUGAGUAACGCGUGGGUAACCUGCCCUGUACAGGGGGAUAAACAGCUGGAAACGGCUGCUAAUACCGCAUAAGCGCACGAGGAGACAUCUCUUCCCCGGAUAAAGUCCGGACGUGAGGGGAUGGCUCCGCGUGCCCAUCAGGUAGUCGCCGGGGUGACGCCCCACCGUGCCGACAUCGGGUAGCCGUGUUGAGAGACCGCCCGGCCAGAUUGGGACUGAGACACGGCCCAGACUCCUACGGGAGGCAGCAGUGGGGAAUCUUGCGCAAUGGGGGGAACCCUGACGCAGCGACGCCGCGUGCGGGACGGAGUCUUUCGGGUCGUAAACCUCUUUCAGCAGGGAAGAGUCAAGACUGUCCCUGCAGAAGAAGCCCCGGCUAACUACGUGCCACCAGCCGCGGUAAUACGUAGGGGGGCGAGCGUUAUCCGGAUUCAUUGGGCGUAAAGCGCGCGUAGGCGGCCCGGCAGGCCGGGGGUAGAAGCGGGGGGCUCAUCCCCCCGAAGCCCCCGGAACCUCCGCGGCUUGGGUCCGGUAGGGGAGGGUGGAACACCCGGUGUAGCGGUGGAAUGCGCAGAUAUCGGGUGGAACCCCGGUGGAGAAGGCGGCCCUCUGGGCCGAGACCCACGCUGAGGCGCGAAAGCUGGGGGAGCGCACAGGAUUAGAUACCCUGGUAGUCCCAGCCGUAAACGAUG
rnacentral:rRNA from 1 species